rnacentral:rRNA from 1 species
GGUCUGCGCGGAAGAUGUAACGGGGCUAAACUAGUCACCGAAGCUGCGGAUUCAUAAUUUAUUAUGAGUGGUAGGGGAGCGUUCUGUAAGCCGUUGAAGGUGUGUUGUAAAGCAUGCUGGAGGUAUCAGAAGUGCGAAUGCUGACAUGAGUAACGAUAAGGGGAGUGAAAAACUCCCCCGCCGAAAGACCAAGGUUUCCUGUCCCAUGUUAAUCAGGGCAGGGUAAGUCGGCCCCUAAGGCGAGGCGGAAACGCGUAGUCGAUGGGAAACAGAUUAAUAUUUCUGUACUUCUAUAUAUUGCGAAGGAGGGACGGAGUAGGCUAGGUGAGCACGGCGUUGGUAGUCCGUGUGAAAGUAUGUAGGCGGUUGACUUAGGUAAAUCCGGGUCUUCAUUAACGCUGAGAUACGAGACGAGAUUCUACGGAAUUGAAGUCAUUGAUGCCAUGCUUCCAGGAAAAGCUUCUAAGCUUCAGAUAUAUAGGAACCGUACCCCAAACCGACACAGGUGGUUAGGUAGAGAAUACUAAGGCGCUUGAGAGAACUCGGGUGAAGGAACUAGGCAAAAUAGUACCGUAACUUCGGGAGAAGGUACGCUCUCUAAUGUGAAUGACUUGCUCAGUAAGCAUCGGAGAGUCGAAGUAACCAGGUGGCUGGAACUGUUUAUUAAAAACACAGCACUGUGCAAAAUCGAAAGAUGACGUAUACGGUGUGACGCCUGCCCGGUGCCGGAAGGUUAAUUGAUUGGGUUAGCUCUGCGAAGCUCAUGAUCGAAGCCCCGGUAAACGGCGGCCGUAACUAUAACGGUCCUAAGGUAGCGAAAUUCCUUGUCGGGUAAGUUCCGACCUGCACGAAUGGCGUAAUCAUGGCCACACUGUCUCCACCCGAGACUCAGUGAAAUUGAAAUUGCGGUUAAGAUGCCGUAUACCCGCGGCUAGACGGAAAGACCCCGUGAACCUUUACUAUAGCUUGACAGUGAACAUUGCUCCUACAUGUGUAGGAUAGGUGGGAGGCUUUGAAACUUUGUCGCCAGAUGAAGUGGAGCCAACCUUGAAAUACCACCCUUGUAUGCGUGAUGUUCUAACCUAGGGCCCUAAUCGGGCUUGGGGACACUGUCUGGUGGGUAGUUUGACUGGGGCGGUCUCCUCCUAAAGAGUAACGGAGGAGCACGAAGGUUGGCUAAGUACGGUCGGACAUCGUACGGUUAGUGCAAUGGCAUAAGCCAGCUUAACUGCGAGACAGACACGUCGAGCAGGU